AUGUUUGGGUGAGCUGGCUGUGAUUUCUCACUUCAGUGAUCACCAGGGUAGACUUGGCUGAUCUGGAUGGCUAGGCAGGUGUCCCCCUCCACCCACAAUGCU
rfam:Cricetulus griseus cell line CHO-K1, whole genome shotgun sequence.